UCGAAUCCAAAAUUAGUAUUUAAAAGGUACUGUAUUUCCACUCUGGAUUCAAGAAAAAAAAAGAUCCUCAUGUUUUUUGUCUGUCUGACUGUGGCAGCCAAGAUUGAAUGGAGGAAAACGUGG
rnacentral:snoRNA from 1 species